GUUUGGUUCAUGAGUAUGUGGAAUCAGGUAUGGGGUUUGUCCAUUCCAAACCCAUACCUGGUGUUUGGUUGGUGAAAAUAUAAUCUCAAACCCAUACCUUAAAUCCCCAAGGUAUGAGUUUUUGAUACCUAGGUGGGGAGGUGGGUAUGAGAUGGAGGUAUGGGUAUCCAUUCAUUUAUGAUUUUUUUGUCUCUAUUUAAGUAAUCAAAUAUUAAUAUUUUAUACAAAAUUAAAUCAAUGAUGCAAAAAUAUAUAACAAUAAUAAUUUUAUUAAUUUUUUUCAAUUAAUAUAAAUUAAUAAUUUAUUUUUACAAAAAUUGCAUAUAUUGAUUCCAGCACUCACCCAAACACAUGAUAUCAGAUAUGAUACCUCAAACCCAUACCAGCUUAACCCGAUUCCUCAUUCCAACCCGAU
rnacentral:lncRNA from 1 species